UCAUUAUUCAAGUUGUAGAUCUCAAACCUGCUGGAACUAGAUUUACAUUCAAAGCUAGUGAUGGAAAAAUGAAACUCAGGGCGAUGCUUCCACCCAUUAGAGGCAGGGAACUCAUUGGUGCUGGUAUGAUAGUUAAUGUGUGGUCUGCAUUUGGUGGUUCAUCGAAAGUGUGUUUAAAUUGAGAUAGGAUCAACCUAGCUCUAUUCAUGAUGAGAUGAGAUGAGGAAAUCUUUGAUUGACAGCUUUGUUUGACCCAACUCAUAUGGGUUAGUUGAAUUUGUAGAUGAUUUAUUGAAAAGAGUUCGUCUCGGCAUUGGAGAAGGCAUCUUACAAGAUCAAAUGGGUCUUGGCAAGACUAUUCAAACAAUUGGAUUUCUUUCUCAUCUGCAAGGAAAAAGAAUU